rnacentral:rRNA from 1 species
GACGUAGGGCGCGAGCGUUGUCCGGAUUUAUUGGGCGUAAAGAGCUCGUAGGCGGCUUGUCGCGUCAACUGUGAAAACCCGUGGCUCAACCAUGUGGUCUGCAGUCGAUACGGGCAGGCUAGAAUUCGGUAGGGGAGACUGGAAUUCCUGGUGUAGCGGUGAAAUGCGUAGAUAUCUGGAGGAACACCGGUGGCGAAGGCGACAUCCUGGACCGGUAUUGACGCUGAGGCGCGAAAGCCAGGGGAGCAAACGGG